GUGCAGCAGGCGCGAAAACUUUACAAUGCGGGAAACCGUGAUAAGGGGACACCGAGUGCCAGCAUCAUAUGCUGGCUGUCCAGGUGUGUAAAAUACACCUGUUAGCAAGGGCCGGGCAAGACCGGUGCCAGCCGCCGCGGUAACACCGGCGGCCCGAGUGGUGAUCGUGAUUAUUGGGUCUAAAGGGUCCGUAGCCGGUUUGGUCAGUCCUCCGGGAAAUCUGACGGCUUAACCGUUAGGCUUUCGGGGGAUACUGCCAGGCUUGGAACCGGGAGAGGUAAGAGGUACUACAGGGGUAGGAGUGAAAUCUUGUAAUCCCUGUGGGACCACCUGUGGCGAAGGCGUCUUACCAGAACGGGUUCGACGGUGAGGGACAAAAGCUGGGGGCACGAACCGGAUUAGAUACCCGCGUAGUCC
rnacentral:rRNA from 1 species